rnacentral:misc_RNA from 1 species
CAUAUGGAACAAAGGUUAUAAUUACAAGAACAAUGUUAUUCAAAAUCUGUCUGCAACCACCUAUGUCAUUCUGACAAGUUAACAUAGAUGUAGUAUAUAAAGGGUGUUGCUACAUAAAAAUGAAUUAAUACAAGACUUCCAGAGAGACUAUGAAUGUGGAACUUGGCAGAUUCAGAUAUGAACAUGCUGUAAGGCAUGAGAAAAUUAACCAGCAAUAUUCAAAGCAUCUGCCCAUCAACCUCCAGAACAUGUGUUUCCACAGCAGCAACUUCUCCUCUGACCUCAAAGCUCAUACGGCACCAAUUACCUCAUACGGCACCAAUUACUUCUACCAAGAGCCCAAUUUGAAGUUCCCAGUGCUGAGUUAAUUUUGCUCGAGAGUUAAACCAGAAAUUUUAAAAUCUCACUCGGCAGGACUAACUACUUUUCAUCAGAAACCUAUAAUUUCUUUCUAACAUCAAAGUCAGAGCGUCAGACAACAGCACAAAUGGCCUAACUCUCAUGUUACAGUCGCUGCAUUCCACAUUAAUAACCAUACAAGUGUUAAAGAGAACAUUGAAGAGGAAUGCUCUCAAUGUAUCAAACAGAGCAUGAUUCAGUUUUCCCU